UAAGGUUACAGGUGGGCAAGUGGGA
rnacentral:misc_RNA from 1 species